rnacentral:rRNA from 1 species
AAUCAACGCUGGCGGCGUGCCUAACACAUGCAAGUCGAACGAGAAAGGGGAGCAAUCCCUGAGUAAAGUGGCGACCGGGUGAGUAACACGUGACUAACCUGCCUUCGAGUGGGGGAUAACCUCGGGAAACCGGGGCUAAUACCGCAUAAUGCCUUCGAGUUAAAGGAGCAAUUCGCUUGAAGAGGGGGUCGCGGCUGAUUAGCUAGUUGGCGGGGUAACGGCCCACCAAGGCGAAGAUCGGUGGCCGGCCUGAGAGGGCGCACGGCCACACUGGAACUGAAACACGGUCCAGACUCCUACGGGAGGCAGCAGUGGGGAAUUUUGCGCAAUGGGGGAAACCCUGACGCAGCAACGCCGCGUGGAGGAUGAAGUCCUUUGGGACGUAAACUCCUUUCGACCGGGACGAUUAUGACGGUACCGGUGGAAGAAGUCCCGGCUAACUUCGUGCCAGCCGCCGCUGUAAAAC